AUGCGUUCUUUGUGGAAAGAACAAAAUAAACAUAUAUACUGGAUAUAUAUACAUAUAUACAUUUAUACUCUUCUUCACAAUGAACUGCAUAUUUACAGCUGCAUUCAUUUCUGUGGUCCUCGAUAUCUACUCUCUGAACGUAAAACUGAGACACUUGAUUAUGAGAUCAUCUGCGAAGCCUCAUCGUCUAAGUUUUAUGAAGGACUACCCACUUAACAUUUCUGGCAUCACCCCCUGACUAACAGGUGCUUAAAUUUACCAGAACUCUGCACUUAUCACGAUUCCUAAUGCUAUUUCUUCUUCUAACGUUACUAAAUUAAAAAUAAUAGGUUUGUAUCAUUGUUGGAUAACACUCCUUCAGUCCAUCACUCAUGUUGUGUUUCCUGAUCCUCAGAUGGCCUUACACAGCUGGAACUGGAGCAGAUAUCUUGAACUGUCAACAUUUGUCUGAUCUUUACAAUGAUCACUGGAAACUUAAGGUGAGAUCUGGUUAUUAUCUUAAUCUGAAACUCUACAGGUGCUGGUCUUAUAAUUAGAAUAUCAUCAAACAGUUGAUUUAUUUCAUUAAAUCUAUUCAAAAAGUGAAACUUGUAUAUUAUAUUCAUUCAUUACACACAGACUUAUAUAGUUCAAAUGUUUAUUUCUUUUAAUUUUGAUGAUUAUAACUGACAACUAAUGGAAAUCCCAAAUUCAGUAUCUCAGAAAAUUAGAAUACAAUUUAAGACCAAUACAAAGAAAUAAUUUUUAGAAAUCUUGGCCAACUGAAAAGUAUGAGCAUGUACAGCACUCAAUACUUAAUUGGGGCUCCUUUUGUCUGAAUUACUGCAGCAAUGCAGCGUGGCAUGGAGUCGAUCAGUCUGUGGCACUGCUCAGGUGUUAUGAGAGCCCUGUUGCUCUGAUAGUGGCCUUCAGCUCUUCUGCAUUCUUGGGUCUGGCAUAUCACAUCUUCCUCUUCCCAAUACCCCAUAGAUUUUCUAUGGGGUUAAGGUCCGGUGAGUUUGCUGGCCAAUUAAGAACAGGGAUACCAUGGUCCUUAAACCAGGCACUGGUAGCUUUGGGACUGUGUGCAGGUGCCAAGUCCUGUUGGAAAAUGAAAUCUGCAUCUCCAUGAAUUUGGUCAUCAGCAGGAAGCAUGAAGUGCUCUAAAACUUCCUGGUGUACAGCUGCGUUGACCUUGGACCUCAGAAAACACAGUGGACCAACAUCAGCAGAUGACAUGGCACCACAAACCCUCACUGACUGUGGAGACUUUACACUGGACCUCAAGGAACGUGGAUUGUGUGCCUCUCCUCUCUUCUUCCAGACUCUGGGACCCUGAUAUCCAAAGGAAAUGAAAAAGUUACUUGCAUCAGAGAACAUAACUUUGGACCACUCAGCAGCAGUCCAGUCCUUUUUGUCUUUAGCCCAGGCAAGACGCUUCUGACACUGUCUGUUGUUCAAGAGUGGCUUGACACAAGGAAUGCGACAGCUGAAACCCAUGUCUUGCAUACGUCUGUGUGAAGUGGUUCUUGAAGCACUGACUCCAGUUGCAGUCCACUCUUUGUG
rnacentral:lncRNA from 1 species